rnacentral:misc_RNA from 1 species
UCCGGUUUGUCACCGGCAGUCACCUUAGAGUGCCCAACUGAAUGCUGGCAACUAAGAUCAAGGGUUGCGCUCGUUGCGGGACUUAACCCAACAUCUCACGACACGAGCUGACGACAACCAUGCACCACCUGUCACUCUGUCCCCCGAAGGGGAACGUCCUAUCUCUAGGAGUGUCAGAGGAUGUCAAGACCUGGUAAGGUGGGGAUGACGUUUCUAGGAGGGUG